rnacentral:rRNA from 1 species
UACGAAGGGGGCUAGCGUUGCUCGGAAUCACUGGGCGUAAAGCGCACGUAGGCGGAUCUUUAAGUCAGGGGUGAAAUCCCAAGGCUCAACCUUGGAACUGCCUUUGAUACUGGGGAUCUCGAGUCCGGAAGAGGUUGGUGGAACUGCGAGUGUAGAGGUGAAAUUCGUAGAUAUUCGCAAGAACACCAGUGGCGAAGGCGGCCAACUGGUCCGGUACUGACGCUGAGGUGCGAAAGCGUGGGGAGCGAACAGG